rnacentral:rRNA from 1 species
UACGGAGGGUGCGAGCGUUAAUCGGAAUCACUGGGCGUAAAGCGCGCGUAGGCGGCUUUUCAAGUCAGGGGUGAAAUCCCACGGCCCAACCGUGGAACUGCCUUUGAAACUGUAGAGCUUGAGUGUCGAGGAGGGUGGCGGAAUUCCAGGUGUAGGAGUGAAGUCCGUAGAUAUCUGGAGGAACACCGGUGGCGAAGGCGGCCACCUGGACGACAACUGACGCUGAGGUGCGAAAGCGUGGGUAGCAAACAGG